rnacentral:tRNA from 2 species
GGGGCCAUAGCUCAGCUGGGAGAGCGCUUGAAUGGCAUUCAAGAGGUCGGGAGUUCGAUCCUCCCUGGCUCCACCA